rnacentral:lncRNA from 1 species
GUUUGCUCCACUGAGCUACACGUAUCUUCCCGUUUUUCGUCACCAAUUGGAAUUCCCUUCAUUGAUGACAAUCAGCAAACGAUGUUCAAUAAGGAAAUCAUAAAGGCAGAUCUAACUCAUAAUUAAGAAGUUAUAUAAAUCGAUGUAAAUAACUGUUGAUGAUUGAAAUUAAGAAAUAUGUUACAUCAGGUUAGGUUUACCUUAAUGCUACGUAGCCAAUUGCAAUGACUCAUGAUAAUUGAUACUUUUGGUGGGAUAAAAAUAGAAAAAAAAACGUAAAACUUUUUUUUGUUUAGUUAAUCGUUUUGAUAAAUGUCAUUCAUUAAAGAAAAGCGUUGAAACAUAUGAUCACGGUCUUGUGACGAAAUGUCAAAUUGCUUUACUGGUAAUAAAAUUAACUGGAAGUGUAUUUUUUGAAUCCGGCUUGAUCGAUAUGAUACUAAUAGAAAUUAUUGGAAAGGAAAAACAUAUUCCUGGUGAAGAUCAUUCAUUUGUUUCAUUUUGAAAAGAAUAAAUUUAAAAGAAAAAAAAACUUGUAAAUAGAAGAGGAAAUGAUCUCGUUAACACGAAAAGAAACUACCGAAAGUUGACCAUAUUUCUUGAAACUUUCAUACUUUGAAGAAGAAUAGAGAUCACAUUCUCCCUAAUUAUCAUUUGUUCAAUAACGAAUGUUAAUUCUUAAAUAAGAAUAGAGCAAGAAAUAUCUGGAUUAUAGAGCUGAAGAUAAUUAAACACAAUGCUGUGAGUAUUGUCUUGAGGAUAUGAUGAUAAGAAGGCCAGAGGCAGAAAGUCUAGUGAUUAUAGUCAUGGUGGGGCUCAUAGAUAUUUGAAAAAAAAAGUUGAAGGCAUGACUUUGG